GACGAACGCUGGCGGCGUGCCUAAUACAUGCAAGUAGAACGCAGUUUCGAACGGGUGAGUAACACGUCGGUAACUGCCUCAUAGCGGGGGAUAACUAUUGGAAACGAUAGCUAAUACCGCAUACUGUGAGAUGGACCUGCGUUGUAUUAGGUAGUUGGUGAGGUAAAGGCGCACCAAGGCGACGAUACAUAGCCGACCUGAGAUGGUGAUCGGCCCCACUUGGACUGGGGCAACGCCCAGAAUCCUACGGUAGGCAGCAGGAGGGAAUCUUCGGACAUGGGCGGAAGUCUGACCGAGCAACGCCGCGGUAUGGAAGAAGGUUUUUGGAUCGUAAAGCCAUGUUGUUAGAGAAGCGUUACCUAACCAGUAAGGGACGGCUAACUACGUGCCAGCCGCCGCGGUAAUAC
rnacentral:rRNA from 1 species